AUAUAAUAAGUUAAUAAUUCAUCUUAGUACAAAAAAUUAACGCAGAUUCAAAUUUGAGUGGUCUGGCAACUGUAAAGAUAGCAAACCAAAAAAAAA
rnacentral:sRNA from 1 species